rnacentral:rRNA from 1 species
UACGGAGGGAGCAAGCGUUACUCGGAAUUACUGGGCGUAAAGGGCGCGUAGGCGAUUUUAUAAGUCUUGUGUGAAAGCCCCGUGCUUAACGCGGGAAGUGCAUAAGAUACUGUAGGAAUUGAGUUCCGGAGAGGAAGAUGGAAUUCCCGGUGUAGCGGUGAAAUGCGUAGAGAUGUGGAGGAACACCGAUGGCGAAGGCAGCCUCCUGGGCCAACACUGACGCUCAUGCACGAAAGCGUGGGGAGCAAACAGG